GGGGAAUAUUGCGCAAUGGGGGGAACCCUGACGCAGCAACGCCGCGUGGAGGAAGAAGGUCUUCGGAUUGUAAACUCCUGUCUUCUGGGAAGAUAAUGACGGUACCAGAGGAGGAAGCCACGGCUAACUACGUGCCAGCAGCCGCGGUAAUACGUAGGUGGCGAGCGUUGUCCGGAAUUACUGGGCGUAAAGGGCGCGUAGGCGGUUAAUUAAGUCAGAUGUGAAAACCCGGGGCUUAACUUCGGGAUUGCAUUUGAAACUGGAUAGCUUGAGUGCAGGAGAGGUAAGUGGAAUUCCUAGUGUAGCGGUGAAAUGCGUAGAUAUUAGGAGGAACACCAGUGGCGAAGGCGACUUACUGGACUGUAACUGACGCUGAGGCGCGAAAGCGUGGGGAGCAAAC
rnacentral:rRNA from 1 species